AUAGGUAUGCUUAGGGAGGAGCUUGCGUCACAUUAGUUAGUUGGUGGGGUAAAGGCCUACCAAGACUAUGAUGUGUAGCCGGUCUGAGAGGUUGAACGGCCACAUUGGGACUGAGACACGGCCCAAACUCCUACGGGAGGCAGCAGUAGGGAAUUUUCGGCAAUGGAGGAAACUCUGACCGAGCAACGCCGCGUGAACGAUGAAGUAUUUCGGUACGUAAAGUUCUUUUAUUAGGGAAGAAUAAAUGAUGGAAAAAUCAUUCUGACGGUACCUAAUGAAUAAGCCCCGGCUAACUAUGUGCCAGCAGCCGCGGUAAUACAUAGGGGGCAAGCGUUAUCCGGAAUUAUUGGGCGUAAAGGGUGCGUAGGCGGUUAAAUAAGUUUAUGGUCUAAGUGCAAUGCUUAACAUUGUGAUGCUAUAAAAACUGUUUAACUAGAGUAAGAUAGAGGCAAGUGGAAUUCCAUGUGUAGUGGUAAAAUGCGUAAAUAUAUGGAGGAACACCAGUAGCGAAGGCGGCUUGCUGGGUCUUUACUGACGCUGAGGCACGAAAGCGUGGGGAGCAAACAGGAUUAGAUACCCUGGUAGUCCACGCCGUAAACGAUGAGUACUAAAUGUUGGGUAAAACCAGUGUUGAAGUUAACACAUUAAGUACUCCGCCUGAGUAGUACGUACGCAAGUAUGAAACUUAAAGGAAUUGACGGGACUCCGCACAAGCGGUGGAUCAUGUUGUUUAAUUCGAAGGUACCCGAAAAACCUCACCAGGUCUUGACAUGCUUCUGCAAAGCUGUAGAAACACAGUGGAGGUUAUCAGUUGCACAGGUGGUGCAUGGUUGUCGUCAGCUCGUGCCGUGAGAUGUUGGGUUAAGUCCCGCAACGAGCGCAACCCUUAUCGUUAGUUGCCAGCACGUAAUGGUGGGGACUUUAGCAAGACUGCCAGUGAUAAAUUGGAGGAAGGGGGGGACGACGUCAAAUCAUCAUGCCCCUUAUGACCUGGGCUACAAACGUGAUACAAUGGCUGUUACAAAGGGUAGCUGAAACGUAAGUUUUUGGCGAAUCUCAAAAAAACAG
rnacentral:rRNA from 1 species